rnacentral:rRNA from 1 species
CCAUCAUUCAGUUGGGCACUUUAGAGAGACUGCCGGUGUUAAGCCGGAGGAAGGUGGGAUGACGUCAAGUCCUCAUGGCCUUUAUGUCUAGGGCUACACACGUGCUACAAUGGGUGGUACAAAGAGCAGCUAACUCGCGAGAGUAUGCAAAUCUCAAAAAGCCAUCCUCAGUUCGGAUUGGAGUCUGCAACUCGACUCCAUGAAGUUGGAAUCGCUAGUAAUCGCGGAUCAGCAUGCCCGCGGUCGAAUACGUUCCGGCCUU